CAGUGUCAUCAUUUUCUGACUGAGGAGAAGAGGGACACUAAGGUUUUCUUUCGGGAGUUCGAGGGUUGUUGUUAUUGUCCAUUAAUGCUUGCAUGUAAAAGAAAGCAGAGAUAGAUUAAAAAGUCGUAGCAAUCUGUUGCAUUCCGGGAUCAUUUCAACAAGGACUAAACUCUUGGUCAUGCUGCUGCUCUGCCUCGCCGUCCUUGGCCUCACUGCCAGCUCUCCCUGUGCUGCCGCCCCACAGCGAGACUCUGCAAUCACUGCGUCCGCCAGAAACAAGCUGCUGCUCAUCUCCUUCGACGGUUUCCGCUGGGACUAUGACCGAUAUGUUGAAACCCCUAAUCUGGAUAAAAUGGCCCAGGAUGGGGUGAAGGCAAAAUAUCUCACACCACCCUUCCUCACCAUAACCAGCCCUUCUCACUUCACAAUGCUGACAGGACGUCAUGUUGAGAAUCACGGAGUAAUCCACAACAUUUGGUUCAACACAACCACCCAGGAGAAGAAGCAGUAUUACCAGACUCAGUUUGUUGACUCCUACUGGGACAAUGGGACCUUACCAAUCUGGAUAACAGCACAGAGACAGGGUCUGAAGGUAGGUUCUCUGCAUUUUCCUGCCACUGCAGCUAAAUACAGAGGAGAGAUAGUGAAGUAUCGGCUAGUGGAGCCUCCUUUCUACGAUUAUUCUAACGAGACAGAUUGGCAACUGAACAUCGACAAGGUGGUUGAAGAAUGGUUCCGCCAACAGGACCUGGACUUUGUCUCUUUGUACUUUGGCGAACCAGAUUUGGCAGGGCACAAAUUUGGACCCGACUCUCCAGAAUGCAGAGAAAUGGUCCGGCAAGUGGACCGAACAGUGGGCUACAUACGGGACAAGAUCCAACAGCAUGGCCUCACAGACAAGCUCAACAUCAUCAUCACCGCAGACCACGGGAUGACUAAGAUCUUCCAUGGAGGAGAAGUUAAGAAGAUCAUCCUCUCUAAGUUCCCUGGCUUCAGCUUCAAAGAGAUCCAGUUCCAGCUGUUGGAUUAUGGUCCUGUUGGGAUGCUGCUUCCUAAAGAGGGGAAGCUGGAGACGGUCUACCAGGCUCUGAAAGGAGGGCACCCUAACCUUCAUGUGUAUAAGAAAGAGGAGAUGCCUUCUAGACUGCACUACAGUAACCAUCCUCGACUCCUGCCCAUUAUCCUCAUUGCUGACCCUGGAUACGUUGUGAAUGGGAUUUUACCGUUGAACUUCAACAAAGGAGAGCACGGUUUUGAUAACGAAGUCAGUGACAUGCAGUCAAUCUUCAGAGCAGUGGGACCGGACUUUGAAAUAAACAAGAUAGUAGAACCCCUUAACAUGGUGGAUGUGUACCCACUUAUGUGUCAUCUACUGGGGAUAAAGCCAGAGAUACAUGACGGACAGUUGAAAAAAACUGAACACAUGCUGUUUCCUGGGAAAGACAUAGGAGACAAUGACAAUAAGAAUUAUGGAAAGGAGGCGAUGAUUGGCUUGUCAGCAGUGGUUGGGUUUCUUGUGCUUGUUUUCAUCAUCACCAUAUCCUACAACAUGUGCAAAAAGACCCGCAAACAAAGGACCAGUGUGACAAAUAUGAGCAAAUUCUGAAGAAGAAAAAACCUGCAGGAAUGGACAAAAUGAAAGUGGGAAGUGUACUUUUGGGGGAGAAACAACAUAAAGAGUUAAAAUAUCUAAUAUCUCAGAGUUUAAUGUCACCUCGAAGUGGUAAUAGCGUGAUUAUUGUGAAAUAAAAAGGCUUAUGGAGGA